rnacentral:lncRNA from 1 species
AGGAAUUUGUAUCUCAGUGAAAACCUUUAUAUUUUCUAUCAUGUACUUUUCUCCGAUUACUCCUGAAACCCCAUCUCCUCCAUAUUUCCUUCCAAAAUGGUUUCAGGAGUAUUCAAAUUGUCCAUGUGGCAACUGACAGCAUUACCGAAUCCCCACAAGAUGAAGGCUGAACAUCUGUUUCUGAUCACAACCUGAAUUCUACUGUGGCUCCUGGGGACUAUCUUAAAGAGUGCUAGAGGAUCCCAUCUCUGCUAAUUUACAUGGAAACUAUUGAAACUUCUGAAGUUGGGAGUGAUUAUCUGAGCUGCAGUUUGGCACCUGAUGGACCGAAGAGAAAGGUUGGAGGGAGAGAGCCAUCCUAAACAUACUAAGGCUUGCAUUUUUAUUUGUAUUUAAAAUUGCCCUAGUUGAUUAAGAAGCUGAGUGGAGGAAAGCAUGCUUCCUGACACGAAACAGAAGUUACCAUAUGAUAACAGUCCACUAGAUGUCACUAAAAGCUCAAGGAUUGGCGCUUUAUGUUUCCUUCCUUGAACCUGCCCCUUGGAACUUGAACUCUAGGGUCUGUGGAUUUAGGCUAGGUGCUGCUUAUGCUUUUAACUGGAAAUCCCCAUAUAAUCAGAUACUGCA